rnacentral:lncRNA from 1 species
GCAUCCCAGGGAUGAAGCCCACUUAAUCAUGGUGGAUAAGCUUUUUGAUGUGCUGCUGGAUUCGGUUUGGCAGUAUUUUACUGAGGAUUUUUGCAUCAGUGUUCAUCAGGGAUAUUAGUCUAAAAUUCUCUUUUUUUGUUGUGUCUCUGCCAGCCUUUGGUAUCAGGAUGAUGCUGGCCUCAUAAAAUGAGUUAGGGAGGACUCCCUCUUUUUCUGUUGAUUGGAAUAGUUUCAGAAGGAAUGGUACCAGCUCCUCCUUGUACCUCUGGUAGCAUUCAGCUGGGACUACAGGUGCCCACCACCACAUCCGGCUAAUUUUUGUAUUUUUAGUAGAGACGGGGUUUCACCACGUUGGCCAGGCUGGCCUCAAACUCCUGACCUCAGGUGAUCUACCAGCCUCGACCUCCCAAAGUGCUGGGAUUACAGGUGUGAGCCACCAUGCCAGGCCGUAAACCACUUUUCGAAAAGAAUCAAAGUAAAACAGUAAUUGUCUACGGAUGACAAAAGACUUAUAGUAGCCAUAGUUAAAGAUGCCUGUGACAAGGAAAAUUGGUUAUUUCUGUGGCAUCUAACAAUGUAACAUCAUAAUCAUAAUUAUGACUGAUAACAUAUACCAGGACAUAUCAAAAUUUUAGAAAUCUCAUAUGAUUUUGGAACAAAUAUUAAUCACACAUUUAUACUUGUGUGAUACACAUAUAACUCAAAGAAAGUUAAACGCUAUUGUUUAUUUGACAAUGCUUCCUGUAUGAUUCUAACAUACCGAGUAAGCCUACUAUUUGGAUUUCCAGGAGUUUCUAUUUGUUAUGUCCAGGUUAUGUCCACAUUAGUUCAGGUCAAAAAGACUUAAUUUUAGAAUUUGAAAUUUGAUUUUUGGCUGGGUACAGUGGCUCACACUGGUAAUCCCAGCACAUUGGGAAGCCAAGGAAGGCAGAUCGCUUGAGCCCAGGAGUUCAAGAUCAGCCUGGACAAUAUGAUCAAGCCUCAUCUCUAAAAAAAGAAUUUAAAAAUUAAGCUGAGUGUGGUGGCGUGCAUCUGUAGUCUCAGCUGCUCUAGAGGCUGAGGUGGGAGUACUGCUUGAGCCCAGGAGGGAGAGGUUACAGUGAGCCAUGACUGUGCCACUCCAGCCUGAGUAAAAGAGUGAGACCCUAUCUCAAAAAACAAAAAAAAAAUUGAUUUUGGGAAGUAUGUCAAAUAUCAAAGGUUUAAAACAUUUGAUAUCAAAAUAUGGCCAGACACAGUGGCUCACGCCUAUAAUCACAGCACUUUGGGAGGCCGAGGUGGGUGGAUCACCUGAGGUCAUGAGUUCAAGACCAGCCUGACCAACGUGGCAAAACCCUAUCUCUACUAAAAAUACAAAAAUUACCCAGGUGUGAUGGUGCACACCUGUAAUCCCAGCUAGUUGGGUGGCUGAGGUAGGAGAAUCAUUUGAAUCCAGGAGGCGGAGGUUGUAGUGAGCUGAGAUCACACCACUACACUCCAGACUGGGUGACAGAGCGAGAUUCCAUCUAAAAAAAAAAAAAAAGGAAAAAAGAAAACAUUUGAUAUCAAAAUAGGAUCACAGGUCUGUGUAAAAUAAGUCAUUCAUUUAGCCAGAAUGGGAGAGAGCAGUGGUUCUCCCAGCACGGAGUUUGAGAUCUGAGAACGGACAGACUGCCUCCUCAAGUGGGUCCCUGACCCCCAAGUAGCCUAACUGGGAGGCACCCUCCAGAAGGGGCAGACUGACACCUCACAUGGCCGGGUACCCCUCUGAGACGAAGCUUCCAGAGGAACGAUCAGGCAGCAACAUUUGCUGUUCAGCAAUAUUCACUGUUCUGCAGCCUCUGCUGCUGAUACCCAGGCAAACAGGGUCUGGAGUGGACCUCCAGCAAACUCCAACAGACUUGCAGCUGAGGGUCCUGACUGUUAGAAGGAAAACUAACAAACAGAAAGGACAUCCACACCAAAACCCCAUCUGUACAUCACCAUCAUCAAAGACCAAAGGUAGAUAAAACCACAAAGAUGGGGAAAAAACAGAGCAGAAAAGCUGAAGAUUCUAAAAAUCAGAGCGCCUCUCCCCCUCCAAAGGAAUGCAGCUCCUCACCAGCAAUGGAACAAAGCUGGACAGCACUAAAUACCCACAAGAGAAAGCAGGAAAGUUCUAAAAUUGACACCCUAACAUCACAACUAAAAGAACUAGAGAAGCAAGAGCAAACACAUUUAAAAGCUAGCAGAAGACAAGAAAUAACUAAGAUCAGAGCAGAACUGAAGGAGAUAGAGACACAAAAAACCCUUCAAAAAAUCAAUGAAUCCAGGAGCUGGUUUUUUGAAUAGAUCAACAAAAUUGAUAGACCGCUAGCAAGACUAAUAAAGAAGAAAAGAGAGAAGAAUCAGAUAGACGCAAUAAAAGAUGAUAAAGGGGAUAUCACCACCAAUCCCACAGAAAUACAAACUACCAUCAGAGAAUACUAUGAACACCUCUACACAAUAAAACUAGAAAAUCUAGAAGAAAUAGAUAAAUUCCUGGACACAUACACCCUCCCAAGACUACACCAGGAAGAAGUUGAAUCCCUGAAUAGACCAAUAACAGGCUCUGAAAUUGAGGCAAUAAUUAAUAGUCUACCAACCAAAAAAAGUCCAGGACCAGAUGGAUUCACAGCUGUGGUCCCAGCUACUUGGGAGGCUGAGGCAGGAGAAUCGCUUGAACCCUGGAGGUGGAGAUUGCAGUGAGCUGAGAUCACACUGCUGCACUCCAGCCUGGGAAACAGAGGGAGACUCUAUCUCAAAAAAAAAAAAAAAAGAAAAGAAAAAAGAAAAGAAAAAAAGUGGUUUACAAUCAGCUGCAGUCCAAAGUUUAUCUUUUCUUCAAGGAAAUUCAUGGAAAGGACACUGAGAAGUACUCUUGAAUACAGGUUUCUAAUAAACUUAGAGAUCAUACCAUUGGACUAGGUAAAAACUUCCACAACACUAAUGAAAAACUGAUGCAUUCAUGAAGAUUUCUAAUCCAGCAUCAGGCAUUACAAUAAUUAAUUACACCGGACUGAAAUUAUUUUUAUGACUUUUUUGUUGAAACAUUGCUAACUCUUUUUGUUUUGUUUUCGAGAGUUAAGAAAACUUUUGUUUUUUUUUUUUUGAGAUGGAGUUUCGCUCUUGUUGCCCAGGCUGUAGUGCAGUGGUGCAAUCUCGGCUCACUGCAACCUCCGCCUCCCGGGUUCAAGCGAUUCUUCUGCCUCAGCCUCCUGAAUAGCUGGGAUUAUAGGUGUGCGCCACCAUGCCUUUAGUAGAGACGGGGUUUCACCAUGUUGGCCAGGCUGGUCUCGAACUCCUGACAUCAAGUGAUCCACCCUCCUUGGCCUCCCAAAGUGCUGGGAUUACAGGCGUGAGCCACAGUACCUGGCCAAAAACUUUAAAAAAAAAAAUCUGUUUAGAGCUUAUAGCAAUUGGGUAAAAUAUAUUUUUGUGAGCAAAAUUGAAGCAUUUAUCUUUCUACCUGAUUUCUCCAGAAUUCAGAAACUAUGAAUGAGUAUUCUUAUUUUAUUGUAAUAUAAUUAUUUGCAUAAUUUUAGUAAAAAAUUUUUUUCCUUUGUUAACAGAACACAAUUGAAGGCACUGGUUAUUCUAGCAAGGCUUUGACUGGAAUGGCAUAUUUUCAGAUAUGACCAGACUGCUCUGAGGAAUUCAGGUUGGCUUUAUAGAGUCAAUAAAAAGCUACCUGGAAAGAGUGGCCAUGUACCUUAUCUAUACAGUUCCCUUACAAGGUUCCUGAUCUUGAGGUAAGUAAAUAAUGUCCCUUUCUGACAGGCCCAGGAACCUCAAAUAUUUUGGGGCCUUGAGAAAAGAGGAACUCACCCAGUUCAUGCAGGUGUUACAGGCACAAUCUGAAGAUGAAUCUUUGGCUUUUUAAAGCCUCAGAUUAAAAAGUCUAAUCUGAAAUUCUCUAUGAAAAUUCCUUCAAAGCCAACUUGAAAAGAACCUUUAUGAUCAGUCAUUAUUCUUGUUCCACUUUAUGCAAAUAAUGAAGCUGAAUAUAAUGCUAAAACUUAUUUUACAAGUAACUUGGUCCCACUAAGAUUUAUCUUUGGUAGAAAUGGGGAAUCUGAGAGAGAAAAAUUAUGUUUCAGAAGAAAACGAUUUUAUACCUAUUGAUAGAUUCCAGCCCUGAUGAUUGUUUCUGAGUUUUUGUUAUUUUCCUGCAAUCCUUAAUUAUUUCCUGGCUACAACAAGUCUUUAAAGAAGGUCUGGGUUUUAAUUUUCUUUAUGAUGUUUUUAGUUCACUCAUAAAUUGAAUUGUUUUCUUCUGUUCUGGCAUACACAUUUCUUUCUGAUUAUAA